CCGGCGGGGGCGGCGACCUCGCCCGGACGCGCCCCUCGCUCCUGGGCCGCGGCUCACCCAGGCGCAGGCUGCACAGCGCCCCCCGAGACCAGGACAACCAAGGGCAGAGAGGUCUUUCUUCUGGCCAAAAAGUGAUACAGCUGCGGAGAAACCACCAAUUCUUCGAGGGCAGCUGUUGACUGAUUGACCUCCUCUUGCGUGCAGGCUGGACUUCCAACUGAAUUCUAACAAAUGGGAUGCAGCAGAUGUGAUGUGACCAGCCCAGCUCAUAAAGGAGAUGCAUCCUUUUACGUUCCCCCUACCUGCCCUGCCCCACCCCAGCCAGGUAUCCCAGGCUGAGAGUGCCAGCCAGUGUCUGCUGCUCCAGACAUGUGAAGGGGUGAGCCUUAACGAUGACUCUAGCCUCAGUCACCGUAGACCACAUGGGGUAAGACCUAGAGAGAAAGCUCGGCCAAGUUGUCAGUCCCCAGAAACCCGAACGAUGGCUCAGUGGGCAGAGCACUCGGGCAAGCCUGGCAACCUAAGCUUGAUCCUUGGAACUGUACAGAGUGAAGAAGAGACCUGAUGCCACAAAGCUGUCCCCAGCCCCCCAGCCUCCACAAGUGUGUCCCAGCAACAACAAUAAUAAUGAAUAAAUGGCUUUUUAUUAAACUAG